rnacentral:rRNA from 1 species
AUGUUACUGGAUCCAAGCAUUAUGCCGUUUGACAUUUUGAGCAACAUCUUGUCCGAUCGGUGCCGACCGCUUGAUUGUCGGUGUCGAAAGGACACGAUGCCAGAGCUAGCACGCUACUGCUUCCACCCUGAGAUUGUCGAGGACCGAAAGUACGUCGUAGGUGAUGAUCUGCUUAUACAUCAGGCAACUGCCAUGUCUGUGAUGAAGUAUUGGUCUGGGAGGAACAAGGCUAUGGUACUGGAGAGUGGAGACGGACAUUACCCUAGGGAAGCAGGAGGCUGUUGCACUGCUGCGAGCCGUGCUAGCUUCGAAGAAUGCACUGACCGAAGUGUUCAUCGAUAG